GUUUAUGGUUAGGUACAUUGAUGUUUAUCGUUAGGUACAUUGAUGUUUAUCGUUAGGUACAUUGAUGUUUAUCGUUAGGUACAUUGAUGUUUAUGGUUAGGUACACAUUGGUGUUUAUGGUUAGGUACAUUGGUGUUUAUGGUUAGGUACAUUGGUGUUUAUGGUUAGGUACACAUUGAUGUUUAUGGUUGGGUACAUUGGUGUUUAUGGUUGGGUACAUUGGUGUUUAUGGUUGGGUACAUUGGUGUUUAUGGUUGGGUACAUUGAUGUUUAUGGUUGGGUACAUUGGUGUUUAUGGUUGGGUACAUUGGUGUUUAUGGUUGGGUACAUUGAUGUUUAUGGUUGGGUACAUUGAUGUUUAUGGUUGGGUACAUUGGUGUUUAUGGUUAGGUACACAUUGGUGUUUAUGGUUAGGUACACAUUGAUGUUUAUGGUUAGGUACAUUGGUGUUUAUGGUUAGGUACAUUGGUGUUUAUGGUUAGGUACAUUGGUGUUUAUGGUUAGGUACACAUUGAUGUUUAUGGUUGGGUACAUUGAUGUUUAUGGUUGGGUACAUUGAUGUUUAUGGUUAGGUACAUUGGUGUUUAUGGUUAGGUACAUUGGUGUUUAUGGUUGGGUACACAUUGGUGUUUAUGGUUGGGUACACAUUGGUGUUUAUGGUUAGGUACACAUUGGUGUUUAUGGUUAGGUACAUUGGUGUUUAUGGUUGGGUACAUUGGUGUUUAUGGUUGGGUACAUUGGUGUUUAUGGUUGGGUACAUUGAUGUUUAUGGUUGGGUACAUUGGUGUUUAUGGUUGGGUACAUUGGUGUUUAUGGUUGGGUACAUUGAUGUUUAUGGUUGGGUACAUUGGUGUUUAUGGUUGGGUA